rnacentral:tRNA from 2 species
GGGGCCAUAGCUCAGUUGGUAGAGCGCUUGGAUGGCAUUCAAGAGGUUGGCGGUUCGAUCCCGCCUGGCUCCACCA